rnacentral:lncRNA from 1 species
GAAUACAUGAGUAGGAUUAGAUUCUUGAUUAAGGAGACAUGGAUUAAUAAGAGGGGAUAUAGUUAGAUCGUACUUGGAUCGAGAUUGAGAAGAAAGUAAACACUCUUCAUGUGGGUGAUAAUUUGCAUCCAUAAAGUGAAGUGGAUUACUUCUUGCUUGAAACUCUGCCCAUAGAAAUGAAUGGUCAAAGCUAUAUUCUCACUCGUGUUCAUGAAUGGGAAAGCAAAGAAAUUAACUCUUUAAGAGUUUGUCCUCUUCCUUUUCGAUUCAUUCCAGUAGUCCGUGUUUGUGGAUUCCCUCUCAUUCAACUAUGAUGUACUCUUGAAAUCAAGCUAGGGUCUUUAUUCAGACCAGGCCGCCUGCACCAAACCAUGCAUUGAAACUCUUCUCUGCAAGCUCCUGGGCUCUAUUUAUACAAGAACAUACAUGACUAUCAAGUGGCAAUGUCCCAAAAGCCAGAAAAGGGGCCCAAGGAGUUCCAUACCUACCUCAGAGGAUUAAACAACUAAACUAAUCUAGAUGUAGCUCCUACCCUCACAAGUACAACUGGCCCCAUAGAUAUCCAAGCAGUGCAAAAUCAUGAGGGGAGAUGCCCACAAAGAGGAAAGUCAGGCUAAUUUGGAGACCAGCUCCAUCUGACCUAUUCAGUGUGUGCAUUCUAUUACACUCUUGAGGAUUGAUUACCCCACACUCAACAAGGUCUGGUUCCUUCCAUUCCCUAUUAAGAUUCAAUAAUUGAAUCAUAUCGCUGGCUAUACAGAAGUAUAUAUCAUGCUAAAUCGUAGCAUCGUUUCCCAAGAGAGUGAAGAGAUGGCCGCACCUCUUCCUUCACUGCCCUGCAUGGGAAUCACCCGGGCCUAGUACAACUGUUUGCAAUAGUAUGGGUGGUGCUGGAAACCAUUGUACAACCUCUU